GAACAGAGGAGCACUUUCGGUAAUAGACUAAAACAACUGUGCUGCUCCAAAGAGCGCUGUAUGAGGUCACUCUUACCAUUAGGCUCUAUAAUGAAUCAACCUAAGCCGGGAAGACUGUCAGAAACUAAAACAGAUGUCCUUCGAGCCGGAAUCGAACCAGCGACCUAAGGAUUACAGCAGGGCUCCUACAGUCCUCCGCUCUACCAGCUGAGCUAUCGAAGGCACUGCGCAAGCAGGCGCUCUCACGCCUCCUGUGUCCGUCUAUGCUGCUUCGGUUGUUCUUCUCAAACCAGUCCACCAGCCACUUCACUUCCUCUACAUACUCUGUCUCGUCAUUGUUCUCAAUAAGGCAAACUUGAUGACACCGUUUGAGCUGGACCCAGCAACACAGUCAUACUUCAGCAGUAUGAAUAACAGUGCCACCCACACAGACUGACUGUGACCUUACAGUUCCAAAGUCCAGUAUCCAAUUGCAGAGGGAAGUGUUCAGACCCAGCGAGGACAGUUUCCCCAUCAGUUUCUGUGGACAUGUGGUCCAAAAAUUGGCCAAAAUAUGUUUACAUCCAAUGGGAAAGUGAGGCGGAGUACCCUGAACAACAAUUGAGGAAUCAAAAAAAAGGAACCCUUUGGAGAUGGCAGAUAUCAGCCAACAACGUGUCCUUAAAAGCAUGGCUUUUCACCCACAAGGCAAGGUAUUUAAUAGGUUAGUCCUAACGAAGGAUCUCAGCCCGAAACGUCGACUGUACCUCUUCCUAUAGAUGCUGCCUGGCCUGCUGUGCUCACCAGCAUUUUUUGUGUGUAUGGCUUAAAUAUGUAUGUUACUUUGUUAUUCUGAGCAGUUUUAUGUCAAAUAUUUUGUAAACCUACAUAAACUGUCCC